AGUCUUUAUUGAAUUUGUUACAAUAUUGCUUCUGUUUUAUGUUUUGGUUUUUUGGCCGCGAGGCAUGUGGGAUCUUAGCUCCCGGACCAGGGAUCAAACCCGUACCCGCUGCAUUGGAAGGCGAAGUCUUAACCACUGGACCGCCAGAAACUGCUCAGUCUCCCGCCUCUGUGAAGUUUGCCCAUCUGUCUGGAAAAAGGCAGUUCAGGCCAUGUUUUUCCCAAGCAAUAGAAAAAACCAGUCUCAACAAAGCGAGAAGUUUGUCCUAAGAAGCUGGAAGUUUACUUAAGAGAUAUUUCAAGAACCUAUGUCUUCGAAAGUGGGGGAAUUUUUCUUGGAGUAUACCUGCACCAGUAUGCCCACCUUGAUUUAAUCGUAUGGGGGUAUACAAGUCUUGUUCAUAAAGUGUGUCAAGCUCGAGGAAGAAAAGGUAAGAAGAUGAGUUUAUUAGACCUUGGAAAACAAAACAAACAAAACACCACAACUGAGCAAGCAACCUCAUCUACCUGUGGUUCCCUCCGUGGCUGACACUUUACAUUCCCAUAGCAUUUUCCUUGUAUAUCUCACUUAGCAUCUAUCUUUUGUUCAAGGGCUUCUUGCUUUUGUUUGUUUUUAAAGCUGCUGUUCUAUCAGGUUGUAAACGCCUGGAGAGGAGGAUCUCCAGACAUCCUGCCUUGUUUUCUUCACAGUCAGGGAUGAUAUUCAAGAUAGUUAACACCCAGUACAGAACAGGAACCAACCAAAUCAAAUGGACACUGGUCUUGGCAAUUUGUACAGCCACACUGGUGUAUCCAGCUGAGUAUGUUUUCUGCACAUAGAAGGCUUCCAAUAAACGACUGUUGGAUUGAAUUUCAUUGGUUUGGUGUCCUGGCCCUGGCAUCUAAUGGCUUUCUUUCAGAAUUCAGGCUACUUUUUCUUGCCAAGAUAUGACCAUAACCAUUUUUCCUCCUUGAUUUAAUCCUGCAAGAGUCUUUGAGUAAUUGUGAAGAACUUUGUGAGUUCUUCAAACCUGCAUUGUCCAAUAUGGUAGACACUAGCCACAUAUAUAAGGUUGCUAGAUAAAAUAUAGGACACCCAGUUAAAUUUGAAUUUCAGAUAAAUAAAGAAUAAAUUUGUAGUGUAAAUGUGUCCCAUGCAAUAUUUGGGAUAUACUUAAACUACAAAAUGAUCUGUUGCUUAUCUGAAAUUAAUAAUUAACUGAGCAUCCUAUAUUUUCAUUUGCUAAAUCUGGUAACCCUACACACGUGGCUAUCUAAACUUAAAUUAAUUGAAAUGUAAUAAAAAAUUUAAAAUUUAUUUUCUCAGCCUCACUGGCCACAUUUCAAGAGCUCUGUAGCCACAUAUGUGGCUAAUGGUUCCCAUCUUGAACAGCACAGAUAUAGAACAUUUCUAUCAUUGCAUAAAGUUUUAUUGGACACUAACUUUGCCAAGCAAACGAUAGCAGGAAAGUUUUGUGUAUUUUACACAUUAAAAAAAUAUGUAUUUGGAGCCUAGAAGACCCCUUCUAACAUAGCCAAGAAGCCACAUUCUUCAUGUUUCGGUCUGUUACUUUUACUGAAUAUGCAGGAUAUUUGUUCCAGAUAAAUGAGCCUGUAUGAGAGAAGCAGCUCCUGCAAACCUACGUUUGUGGACGCUGUUGUCCUGCUUUUCUCCUGGGACUACCAGGAAAUGUCAGCUGUCAGAUCAGAGCAAGUCAAAAUUUAAAGAGUUCUAAAUGAAAAAUAAAUGUGUUGUUAUUUGA